rnacentral:rRNA from 1 species
UAAAGUCAAAUUAAUUGGUUAAAACUAAUAAAUAGUUACUAUUAAAUACAACAACUCUACUUAUUAUUGUUAGAGUAAAAUCUUUAUAAAUAAGAUAGGAAUGUGUUAAAGUAACGUCAAUUCUCUUACGAAGCGCUAGCAUAAAGACUAGGAUUAGAUACCCUAUUAUGGGCGUGAGUACAAGAGUUUAUUAAGUUAAUAGCCUUAAUUAAAGCAAAAUCUAUUUACUAUGGCGGCUGUUAGUCUCACCAGAGUCGUAUGUUCUUAAACGAAGCCGCGCGACCAUCUUACCUUUUAACUUUUGCUUAUGUGAAAUAAUCACACUUCAGCAAUCUGGCACGUCGCUGUACUAAAAGUGAAGAUUUUAAAUAACUCAUCUUCUAAUUAUUUAUUAGUACUUAUUAAUAACGUACAAGUCAAGACGCCGUUUUAAGAGGUUAAAAUGUACGAUUUAAUUGGUUUGAUAGAAUUGAUAAGAAUGAAAACUUUCUUUAUUAAAAUAAUUUGGAAGUAAAAUAAGGUUAUUAUUCUUAUUUGAAAUGAGCUACUAAUAAGU